rnacentral:rRNA from 1 species
CCUACGGGAGGCAGCAGGGGGGAAUUUUGGACAAUGGGCGAAAGCCUGAUCCAGCAAUGCCGCGUGAGUGAAGAAGGCCUUCGGGUUGUAAAGCUCUUUUGUCAGGGAAGAAACGGUGAAAGCUAAUAUCUUUUGCUAAUGACGGUACCUGAAGAAUAAGCACCGGCUAACUACGUGCCAGCAGCCGCGGUAAUACGUAGGGUGCAAGCGUUAAUCGGAAUUACUGGGCGUAAAGCGUGCGCAGGCGGUUUUGUAAGUCUGAUGUGAAAUCCCCGGGCUCAACCUGGGAAUUGCAUUGGAGACUGCAAGGCUAGAAUCUGGCAGAGGGGGGUAGAAUUCCACGUGUAGCAGUGAAAUGCGUAGAUAUGUGGAGGAACACCGAUGGCGAAGGCAGCCCCCUGGGUCAAGAUUGACGCUCAUGCACGAAAGCGUGGGGAGCAAACAGGAUUAGAUACCCUGGUAGUCCACGCCCUAAACGAUGUCUACUAGUUGUCGGGUCUUAAUUGACUUGGUAACGCAGCUAACGCGUGAAGUAGACCGCCUGGGGAUACGGUCGCAAGNUUAAAACUUAAAGGAAUUGACGG